rnacentral:RNase_P_RNA from 1 species
GUGCAGGAUCGAACGAUCGCUCUCGGCGCCUUGCGUGCCGAGGGAGGAAAGUCCGAGCUCCACAGGAAGCCAAGCUGGGUAACGCCCAGGUCCCGGCCAUUUUACGAGGAUGACGGGAACGGACAGUGCCACAGAAAACAGACCGCCUCGGUUGCUUGCAACCGGUGGCAAGGGUGAAAAGGCGAGGUAAGAGCUCACCGCGUCGGCGGCGACGUCGGCGGCAUGGAAAACCCCUUGGGGAGCAAGACCAAAUAAGUCGGGUGCCGCUCAUCGAAAGAUGAUCUGCGGCGGCGUGUUCCGCGCCGUGCCUAAAAGCUAACCCGGCGGGUAGGUUGCUAGAGGUCGCCGGCAACGGCGAUCCCAGAUGAAUGAUCGUUGGGUUUGCGGCCAUACACACGCCGCACGCCUGACAGAACUCGGCUUACAGAUCCUGCACAUCU